rnacentral:tRNA from 1 species
CUUAGCUUAAUGGAUAAAGCGUUUGGUUCCGAACCAAAUAAUAGGGGUUCAAUUCCCCUA